rnacentral:rRNA from 1 species
ACUACAGGAUUUUCUUAGUAGCGGCGAGCGAAAAGAAAAUAGUUCAGCACUAAGUCACUUUGUCUUUAUGGCAAAUGUGAGAUGCAGUGUAUGGAAUGUCAAAUUUCUAGUAUGAGAAAUUAACGAUUUAAGUCCUUCUUAAAUGAGACCAUUUACCCAAAGAGGGUGCCAGGCCCGUAUAACGUUAAUGAUUACUAGAUGGCAUUUCCAAAGAGUCGUGUUGCUUGAUAGUGCAGCACUAAGUGGGUGGUAAACUCCAUCUAAAGCUAAAUAUAACCAUGAGACCGAUAGUAAACAAGUACCGUGAGGGAAAGUUGAAAAGAACUCUGAAUAGAGAGUUAAAUAGUACGUGAAACUGCUUAGAGGUUAAGCCCGAUGAACCUGAAUAUCCGUUAUGGAAAAUUCAUCUUUAUGAUUUUAAUAUUUAUAAUAUUAUAAUAAUGGUGUGCAUUUUUUCUAUAAAGGACAUUGUAAUCUAUUAACAUAAAUAUAUUUAUCAUAAGAUCAUUUGCGUAAGUUUAUUCAAAUUAUUUUGCUUGCAUUUUAAUAUCGAAUAAAUGCUUUUGAUUUGAUAAAGUGUUGAUAGAUUUAUUAUAUAUAGUGCUUAAAUAUUUAUAUUUUAUAAUAGCAUAUUGAUCAUUGAUCUUUAUGUUUAUUAUAUGCACUUAUAUGAUUAACAAUGCGAAAGAUUCAGGAUACCUUCGGGACCCGUCUUGAAAC